rnacentral:lncRNA from 1 species
GAAUGAGAGCCAAUUUCUGUAAUGAAUGACCAAGAUUUAUGGACAUCGUGGCGGCUAGGCAAGAUUUGGGUAUUAUUGAAUGCAAGAGGUGAUGUUUUUGGAGGGUUUUUAUUAGGGUUCUUUAGAAAAUUGAAAUAAUUUGGGGCAAAGAAUCUUGAGUUGGGUUGAUGGGGAGGAUAAAAAGGUAAAAACCGUGGAAUUGCAGAUGGAGCCGCCAUUAAAGGAGUGUUGAAGAAAGUGUAGCUGGGAAAGAUAAUACAUUUUGAUAUGGUUUGAAUGAAAUUUGUGUGGAUAUGAAAGUUCGUGGCAAACAAAGAAGAUGAGUCCCGUACGGACACAUUCCCGGCAAUUUUAAAAGAAACAGUUUUGUUAGUUGGUCCCACCGGAAGCUUUUUUUUUUCUUCAGGUACAAUAAUAUUCUUUCCGUCCCAAAAUUAAAAAAUAUAUAAUAUUUUAUAGUACGUCCAUAAUUAAUUGAUGUUUUAGAGGUGGACACAAAAAUUAAAAUAAUAAUUAGAAAUCAUUAAAUAUAAUAUUCAAUUAUCUAUAAUACCCUUAAAUAAAUCUUUUGUUAGGAUAAAGAGAGUUUUGUUGGGAUAAGGAGAGAGAAAGAGUUUAAUGAGGGGUAAUUUUGAAAAAAUUGUCAUUAAUUCUCCUAGAUUUGAAUAAACGUCAAAUAAUUAGGGACAAAUGAAAAAUUAUAAAACGUUAAAUAAUUAGAAACGGAAGGAGUACUUUAAAAAAAAUUAAAGAUGUAUUUUCUUUAUCUAUUUCAAAAUUUAAUAUAUAUUUUUAUUUUUAAAUUAUAAAAUAACAUGAACAUUUUAAUAUAUUAAUUGAGUACUAUUAUGUCACUACUAUUAUAAUUUAUAAUUUAUAUUAAGAAUAAGUUUUGAUUAAAAAAAAAGUCAUCAUUUUAGAGCAAAAAAUUAUGUCGCUACUUAUUAGACCAAUAGCUAUCAUUUAAUAUAUUAAAUAUUGUUAAAACUAUUACCAAAAUGUUAUUAAAUGAAUAUUUAUUCUCGUACAUUAUUCUUUUAUUUACGAUCAACAAUCUUAUAAAUAUAUUUUUAAUUUUAAAAUGAAGAGAGUAUCAACAACACUCAUUCAUGAUAUAUAAUAUUUUUAUAAAUAAAGUUAUAAUCUUUAUCUAAAUAUUCAAUUGAACAAUGUCGUCUAUCUUGUAGGGAGAGUUAAACUAGUUUUUUAUAAUCACUAAAUGAUAAUAAUAAAUAAAAUAAUAUUAUUUGUACAAACUAUAUACAAAUUUUUUUAACUUUAAAUGAUACCCAUCGUCCGUGGAUAUAGAUCAAUUUAUACCACAUUACGUGGGCUCACUCAACCCUAAAAGCUUAAUUUUUUUGGGCUCAGAGGCCCAAUAUUAGCAGCUAGUACUAAUAAAGAUUGGGAGCUAAAAAUCAAACUGCUGUAAAAAUGUGGAAGACAGCGGCAAGCAAAGCUCUGCAACCAUGGCGCAUGUUAGCAUCAUCGCGGCUGAUGUCGACGAAGAGUGACUUCAGUGUAAUCAACUCCAUACUCCUCCGCUCCCUCAAAGAACACUUUGACGAAGUCUCCAAAAUGACACCUCCACCGGUAAAACCCUAAUUUUCCACUAUUAGGUUUCAGUUUAUGGAAUAUUUAGUUGUGAUUCUACUGAUUUUACUUUAAAAUAGUGCAUUGAGGCUUUGAAAAAUUAUAUUUUGUGGCUUGGUUGAAAGAAAUAAGUUUGGGGUUUUAGUGGGGUUUAUCCAAUUUGUGGUGAAUGCUUUAAUUAAACCUAGAUUUAGGCACUAAAAUGAUCAUCGUGCUUGUAAUAUGUAAUAUUUGAAGUGUGUGAAGGGAAAUCCUGCUAAAUUUGCCUAGGGUUUAUAGUGGGUUUCUUUGUAGUGUGAUAAAUUAAGGUUUAAUCAGUAAACUGACUCUCAGUCUAUCUCUUGUAUGCAUCGACGCCAGAACGUAUAAAUUAUAAAUGCAAAAUCCAGCUAAGUUUUGUCUAGGAUUUUUGUAGUUUUUAUUUAGAGUAAUGCCUAGGGUAUCAAGUUGUGUGACAUGAAUUUUUUCUAGUAAUACUGAGACUUCAUAUGAGACUAAAUUUGAGAUCCUAGCAUUUCUCUCUCUUUUUAGUUAUUCUUUCACCAUCAUUUUAUUUGUGAUUGCUAUCCCAAAUUCCCGAUAAACUUAUAUAUUCUUAGCCACUGAAAUGAUUGUACAAUAUUUGAAAAUUAAGUGUCUAGUGGUAAUACAACUAAAGGUGUAAAUAAAUUGAGUCGAGCCGAGUAUUGAGUUGCUCAGAUUUAGUUUACAAAAUUUAUCAAGUAUAAAAUAAUAUUUUUUGAGGCUCGUUUAGCUACUAAGUCGAGCAUAAUCUCAUAUCGUGCCCAAGCAGUUUGAACUUUUUGAAUGAAUAUGAUUCGAGUAUUAAUAGAAAAUUGCAAUUUGAGGAGGUUCGAGUAAUUUAUCGAAAUUUAAAAUUUGCUCGUUUGAAUCAUUUAUAUUUCGAGUCGAGCUCGAAUCGAAUUUUUAGUCGAGCGAGUACGAAUCGAGUUCGAACUGUUUGCUCAUUUUACGGCAUUAAUUAUACAGUUGCAACAAUCUAGGGUUGUUGUGGGCUUUUCAUUUUUUACCUAUUUAGUUAUAAUAUGGUAUGCAUAUAACAUUCUGCUAAUAUGUAUUUAUUUAGCCUCUGAAAUGAUCUUACCCUUCUUUCAAUUGAAUUGUUUUUUGCUGGCAAUGCUGCUAGAAGUCUUUCUAGGAUUUUGAUGGUUUUAUCUCGAGUAGUUUUUUUUACUUGUGUUUCACAGAAGGUGAGCCCUCCUUCUCCAUUCUCGGUUGUGAAAGGGGCACUUGAAAGUGGUGGCCCUGUUUUGAAACGAGAUUACGGUGAAGAGGAAAUUAGUAUAUCAGUGAUGCGGUUGGUUAACAUUAUUCCUGGUGGUGCAGAUGGCGAUGAUGAUGACGGAAUUAACCAGUUAUUUCUUCAUGUUGAUGUGUCAAAGCCUGGACAGAGCGAUGCUUUGCAUUUUCUUUGUGGGUUGUAUCCGGAUGCCUUGGGGAUUCACUCAGUUCAAAUGAGGUCUAAGCUGGAGGAUUCAAGUUAUCUUAUGGUUUCAACCAAGUAUAAUGGACCCACCUUCGAAGAGCUCGAUGAAAAUAUGAGGGAUGCACUCCAUGGAUACAUUGAAGAGCGGGGUAUAAAUGAAAAGCUCUUUCCAUUUCUUCAAGCUUGGCUUUACGUGAAGGAUCACCGGAAACUCCUGCAGUGGUUCAAAUCGGUUGGUACUGUCAUUAUUGAACGCAAGCAAGCUUCAAAUUCAGAUGUUCAAAGCAGUAAAUGAUUUUCAAGAUUAAUGUAUGGAAUGAUUUUGCUAAUUAGCCAAUGACUGGUAGAUUGUCCGUAAAGUUUUCUUGUAUUUUGCAAGGCCAUUUUAAAACUCGUCCUCUCUCUCUAUCUCUCUCCAUUCCUAGUGCAGAAGUAUUUAAAUUACUUUAGAUCAACAAUCGUAGAAUAUUUGUAAUAUGAAUAUGUUCCAAGUUUGCUUAAUGUUUCACAGGAAUCUAUUACGUAUUCACUAAUCCUCGGAAGCAAGUUCAUGAAUUUCCGAACAAAGUUAAGCUUUUUAAUUAAUUGACGAAUAAUUUAUCCAGUGUUGACACAAUAGAUUUGAACAAAUUAUACAUGGAUGAUGAUGUGUGAAUAUUAUGAAACGAAUCAAGUCUCUCUCGUGAGCAAAUUUUCAACUAAAAACACCUUAUGCAUGUUGUGUUUGCUUACUUGAAUUUUACAAAGAUAAUUGAUAUCAUGUUUCUUACAAUCUAUAUUCGUAGAUCGAGUAACCUUUUUAGGACUUGCUCGGUGAAAAAAUACUAUCAAUUUGAAAAGUUGGCACUGUUAUGGUAGUUUUGGCUUUUCCUAGAACAAGUUUCAUAAUAAUGGAUAUUCCUACCAUCUUUUUCUAUGGUUGUACACCAGGUUUGGCAAGACCCAUAACAGCUUUGUCGCAUCAGUCAAUCAAUACACAAUUAUAAUAAGACAAAUACCGAGCUAAUCCCGAGUCAACUCAACAGUGGUUCAAAAGAUUUUUAUUUUUAUCGAGUCGUUUAGGUUGGUCCAGAGUUAACUCGACAAUCAAACUUUGACGAUUCGAUUGCAAUCUCUCCCUCUCUUCAAGCUAUAACCCCUAAGCAAACUAAUAGUGUUUACUUCACUUCAUUCCUUGACUCAGUUUUCCAAAUGCACACACUACACUACUGUUACAUAGUACUACUCUCUCCAUUCCAUAAUAAUAAUUAUUAUUAGUAAUACAAGAGAAAUUUUUUCAGAAAAAAUGAGAGAAUUUAGGGAUAUUAUAAAAAAUUAAAUGAUUUAUUCUUUUAGAAAGUUGUAAUCCGCACAUAGAUUGAAAAAUAUUUUCUUUUCUAAAUGAUUUAUUGUUGUUAUAUUUUGAAAGAUAUCACUAAAAUAAAGAUAUUUUUGUCCGACACCAAUACUUGUCAUAAUCAUAAUACUGUUUGUAUAUACACUAACAAUGCAUGAAGCUUUAAUUCUAAUUACAUACGCUUUGAAUGCCAGUGGAAGUGGUACUGCUGUCCGAAUAUGGGGAUUUCACCACAAAAAAAUUUGGGUGGAUUGAUUUUUGGGAUGACCCACUCGCCAAAACUUGGAAUGAGAGUCAAUUUCUGUAACGGAUGACCAAGAUUUAUGGACAUCGUGGCGGCUAUGCAAGAUUUGGGCAUUAUUGAAUGCAAGAGGUGAUGUUUUUGUAGGGUUUUUAUUAGGGUUCUUUAGAAAAUUGAAAUAAUUUGGGGCAAAGAAUCUUGAGUUGGGUUGAUUGGGAGGAUAAAAAGGUAAAAACCGUGGAAUUGCAGAAGGAGACGCCAUUGAAGGAGUGUUGAAGAAAGUGUAGCUGGGAAAGAUAAUACAUUUUGAUUUGGUUUGAAUGAAAUUUGUGUGGAUAUGAAAGUU